rnacentral:rRNA from 1 species
CAGGACGAACGCUGGCGGCGUGCCUAAUACAUGCAAGUAGAACGCUGAAGAGAGGAGCUUGCUCUUCUUGGAUGAGUUGCGAACGGGUGAGUAAUGCGUAGGUAACCUGCCUUGUAGCGGGGGAUAACUAUUGGAAACGAUAGCUAAUACCGCAUAACAAUGGAUGACUCAUGUCAUUUAUUUGAAAGGGGCAAAUGCUCCACUACAAGAUGGACCUGCGUUGUAUUAGCUAGUAGGUGAGGUAACGGCUCGCCUAGGCGACGAUACAUAGCCGACCUGAGAGGGUGAUCGGCCACACUGGGACUGAGACACGGCCCAGACUCCUACGGGAGGCAGCAGUAGGGAAUCUUCGGCAAUGGGGGCAACCCUGACCGAGCAACGCCGCGUGAGUGAAGAAGGUUUUCGGAUCGUAAAGCUCUGUUGUAAGUCAAGAACGAGUGUGAGAGUGGAAAGUUCACACUGUGACGGUAGCUUACCAGAAAGGGACGGCUAACUACGUGCCAGCAGCCGCGGUAAUACGUAGGUCCCGAGCGUUGUCCGGAUUUAUUGGGCGUAAAGCGAGCGCAGGCGGUUUGAUAAGUCUGAAGUUAAAGGCUGUGGCUCAACCAUAGUUCGCUUUGGAAACUGUCAAACUUGAGUGCAGAAGGGGAGAGUGGAAUUCCAUGUGUAGCGGUGAAAUGCGUAGAUAUAUGGAGGAACACCGGUAGCGAAAGCGGCUCUCUGGUCUGUAACUGACGCUGAGGCUCGAAAGCGUGGGGAGCGAACAGGAUUAGAUACCCUGGUAGUCCACGCCGUAAACGAUGAGUGCUAGGUGUUGGAUCCUUUCCGGGAUUCAGUGCCGCAGCUAACGCAUUAAGCACUCCGCCUGGGGAGUACGAC